UCCACUUGUGGGGGGAUUAGUGGCGAACGGGUGAGUAACACGUGAGUAACCUGCCCUUGACUCUGGGAUAAGCCUGGGAAACCGGGUCUAAUACUGGAUACGACCUUCUGGCGCAUGCCAUGUUGGUGGAAAGCUUUUGUGGUUUUGGAUGGACUCGCGGCCUAUCAGCUUGUUGGUGGGGUAAUGGCCUACCAAGGCGACGACGGGUAGCCGGCCUGAGAGGGUGACCGGCCACACUGGGACUGAGACACGGCCCAGACUCCUACGGGAGGCAGCAGUGGGGAAUAUUGCACAAUGGGCGCAAGCCUGAUGCAGCGACGCCGCGUGAGGGAUGAAGGCCUUCGGGUUGUAAACCUCUUUCAGUAGGGAAGAAGCCGGCCCUUGGGUUGGUGACGGUACCUGCAGAAGAAGCGCCGGCUAACUACGUG
rnacentral:rRNA from 1 species